ACCACGAUUGGCGAGCAAGGUGGCCCCGAAAGUCAGGGGCUAUAAAAGGGAAGACGGUGAAAGUCCGUCGCGGGCCCGCCGCUGUAACCGGGGACGACCCGGCUGUAACCACUGUUCCGACCGAAUCGGGAUGGGAAGGAAGCCGCAAGUCGAACGAUCCGGAAGCCAGAAGACCUACCUUGUCGCACAGCCAACG
rnacentral:ncRNA from 1 species